ACUUUAAUUGAAGAGUUUGAUCAUGGCUCAGAUUGAACGCUGGCGGCAGGCCUAACACAUGCAAGUCGAGCGGUAACAUUUCAAAAGCUUGCUUUUGAAGAUGACGAGCGGCGGACGGGUGAGUAAUGCCUGGGAAUUUGCCCAUUU
rnacentral:rRNA from 1 species